UUACUUUUAAUUUAUUUGCCCUCCACCCCAUUUCCCCUCCUAAGAACAUCACCAAUGGAUUAGUUGGUUCUUUAAAAAAGAAAAAAAAAAAGGGUUGGUUGUUCUUAACUAGUCUUUAUGUUUUUGUCAUUUUCUCUCCUAGUCAUUCCCCUCCUGUGCACUCCAUCCGAAGUGAAGUUGGUUUGAAAUUCCAGACCAACCAAAUCAAAGGACCAAUUGUCCCAAUAAUAAAAUCAACCAAAACUAGUUUUACUAUUUCUUAGAUCAACCUAAAACUAUCCCAUUUUACUGUACAUGCUCUAAGAACUUGACACUCUUCACAACCCCUUUUAUUUCCAUCUCUCAUCCAGUCAUCCUCACUCUGUUCGUCUUCUGAGAAACCAAAUAAGAAAAACAAACCCCUAGAAAUCGAAUGCUAGACCUGCUCAAAGACUUCGACCCUCACACUUGAACCAAAAAAUGAAACACAUGGAGCAAAAAGAAGGUAAUCAUAGGCUCAUAGCAUCAUAUCUGCAAUUCAAUUGCAAAGGACUAUGGUGGUUGAGAAACAAAAAAUCGAGCCUUUUGAAAGAUCAAUCAGCAAUUGGUGAAGAGGAAGUUGACAUUUGAAGAGUGAGAGUGCGUGGCGUAGCAGAUGGUGCGAAGAGAAGAAUAGAUGGAUAACCCGCUUAAUGAUACGGGUCAGGCUACUGUUAAAGGGGUUUCGACACGAUUAACUAUAUGGGUCGGGUUAGUCUCAAGAGUUUUCGACAAUUCGACACGAUUAACUAAGAGUCCGUUUGGUUCAUAUAAUGGUAUGGGUUUGGAAUCAGGAAUGAAACCAAGGUGGUAUGGGUUUGGAACUUGAUACUUAAUACCUUUUGUUUGGUUUCAUUUAAGAAUGAAAAAUCUUCUUUUAUUUGAUACCUAGAAGUAAGGUAUGAGCCAUACCCACCUCCCCAUGGGUUUGUAAACCCCAUACCUUAUGGAUUUGAGGUAUGGGUUUAAAAUUAGAAAUAAGUUAAACAAAUACUAGGUAUGAGUUUUGUUCAUUCCAAACCCAUACCUCUUGGGUAAGUGUCGAGCUUCUUGAAAGUUGGUACGAUAACUACGAUUAAUGUAUGACACAAAUACGAAAUAGACACGAUAAGACCUAUUCGAUA